rnacentral:rRNA from 1 species
UACGUAGGGGGCAAGCGUUGUCCGGAUUUAUUGGGCGUAAAGCGUGCGUAGGCGGCUAUGUAAGACAGAUGUGAAAUCCCUGGGCUUAACCUAGGAACUGCAUUUGUGACUGCAUUGCUAGAGUGUGGUAGAGGGAGAUGGAAUUCCGCAUGUAGCAGUGAAAUGCGUAGAUAUGCGGAGGAACACCAAUGGCGAAGGCAAUCUCCUGGACCUGCACUGACGCUCAUGCACGAAAGCGUGGGGAGCAAACAGG